rnacentral:rRNA from 1 species
GACGAACGCUGGCGGCGUGCCUAAUACAUGCAAGUAGAACGCUGAAGGAGGAGCUUGCUUCUCAGGAUGAGUUGCGAACGGGUGAGUAACGCGUAGGUAACCUGCCUGGUAGCGGGGGAUAACUAUUGGAAACGAUAGCUAAUACCGCAUAAGAGUAGAUGUCGCAUGACAUUUGCUUAAAAGGUGCAAUUGCAUCACUACCAGAUGGACCUGCGUUGUAUUAGCUAGUUGGUGAGGUAACGGCUCACCAAGGCAACGAUACAUAGCCGACCUGAGAGGGGGAUCGGCCACACUGGGACUGAGACACGGCCCAGACUCCUACGGGAGGCAGCAGUAGGGAAUCUUCGGCAAUGGACGGAAGUCUGACCGAGCAACGCCGCGUGAGUGAAGAAGGUUUUCGGAUCGUAAAGCUCUGUUGUAAGAGAAGAACGAGUGUGAGAGUGGAAAGUUCACACUGUGACGGUAUCUUACCAGAAAGGGACGGCUAACUACGUG